UAUAUCUGGGUAUACACCGUGGCGGUGUAGGUGGAAGCGGCGGCGGUGGAGGAGGUAGUCAACACUGUUUUUUUGUUUUGGUUUUUUUUUAAUUGGGGUAACCCCCAAAAUAUUGGGACAUAUAAAAAAAGAAAAACUUGAGUAUAACAAUGGCUGGGUGAGGCCAGUAUAAAUGUCUAUUCUGCACAAGGUACAGACAAGUCUGGUGGAAUCCAUGCCUGGUUCAUUUUAAUAAACGUGACAGGCAGCUGCGCUUGUCUGUGAUAACCUCUUGCCGAUUGCACAUCCCUGUGACGGCAACAACGCAUUUGGAUGUCUGCCCUAUCAACUUUCGAUGCAAUUUUCCGCGCCUAUCAUGGUGACCACGGGUAACGGGGGAUCAGAGUUCGAUUCCAGAGAGGGAGCCUGAGAAAUGGCUAACACAUGCAAGGCAGCAGGCGCGCAAAUUACCCACUCCCGACGCCGGGAGGUAGUGACGACAAAUAACAAUACACUACUCUUUCGAGGCCCUGUAAUUGUAAUGAGUCCACUCUAAAUCCUUUAACUUGAAUCAAUUGGAGGGCAAGUCUGGUGCAGAGCGACUGACCUGUGCGUGCCGCAGCUGAAACUCCACU